AACUGCCCUGAAGGAGCUUACAAUCUAGCUGGGGGUAAAUGUCUUGCACACAAACACAACUAGACUGUGAGCUUCUACAGGGCAGGGA
rnacentral:pre_miRNA from 1 species